rnacentral:rRNA from 1 species
GUGAAAUGCGUAGAUAUCCGGAGGAACACCAAAGGCGAAGGCACUGUCCUGGCUCUGACCUGACGCUCGGGGGCGAGAGCUAGGGGAGCGAACGGGAUUAGAUACCCCGGUAGUCCUAGCCGUAAACGAUGACCACUAGACGUUCGGGGUAUCGACCCCCUGAGUGUCGAAGUUAACACGCUAAGUGGUCCGCCUGGGGAGUACGGUCGCAAGAUUAAAACUCAAAGGAAUUGACGGGGACCCGCACAAGCAGCGGAGCGUGUGGUUUAAUUCGAUGCAACGCGAAGAACCUUACCAGGAUUUGACAUGCCUCUGAACCUCCGUGAGAGCGGAUUUCCUUCGGGACAGAGGCACAGGUGCUGCAUGGCUGUCGUCAGCUCGUGCCGUGAGGUGUUGGGUUAAGUCCCGCAACGAGCGCAACCCUCAUGGGUAGUUGGACCUCUCUACCCAGACUGCCGCGUCUAACGUGGAGGAAGGUGGGGAUGACGUCAAGUCAGCACGGCCCUUACAUCCUGGGCGACACACACGCUACAAUGGUGAGGACAAUGAGGAGCCAACCCGCGAGGGGGAGCCAAUCUUAGCAAACCUCAUCUCAGUUCAGAUUGCAGGCUGCAACCCGCCUGCAUGAAGGUGGAGUUGCUAGUAACCGUGAGUCAGCACAUCACGGUGAAUACGUUCCCGGGUCUUGUACACACCGCCCGUCACACCACGAAAGUCGGCAACCCCUGAAGCCGCCAGGCUAACCCGUCUCGCAAGGGACGGGAGGCAAGCGUCGAGGGUGGGGUCGGUGAUUGGGGUGAAGUCGUAACAAGGUAACCGU